rnacentral:rRNA from 1 species
UUAGCUAGUUGGUAGGGUAAUGGCUUACCAAGGCAACGAUGCAUAGCCGACCUGAGAGGGUGAUCGGCCACACUGGGACUGAGACACGGCCCAGACUCCUACGGGAGGCAGCAGUAGGGAAUCUUCGGCAAUGGACGAAAGUCUGACCGAGCAACGCCGCGUGAGUGAAGAAGGUUUUCGGAUCGUAAAACUCUGUUGUUAGAGAAGAACAAGGAUGAGAGUAAAAUGUCAUCCCUGACGGAUCUACCAGAAAGC